CUGCGCGUUCCUUGACUUCCUGUGAAACAGCCCCUCAGCCCCUCCCACGCCUGUGAAAGUGGGUUUUCUGAGCAUCAGGCCUGAACAGAAUUUCCUUUAGAAGCUGAGGUGGCCUGCUCUCUUUUUGCAGCCGAUACUUUCAUUCAGAAGCUCCGAUGGCCUUUUAGGUAAACCUACUCCUCCCCCUCCUCCCCUGCACUUUUCCUGGAAACGGCUUGCCAAGGUUUACUGGAACAAUAUGGCUCCGGCCCCCACACCAGCCAUGACCUUGAGAAGGGAGAAGACACUGAGCCACCCGAGGGCGUGACUAGAGGAGCUCGGAAGAACAGAGACCUCCAGAGACAAGAAGACAGAAGCUGAAGAGGCACGAGCAGGGGGCUGGAAGGUUCCGCAGAGUGUGCGCAGUGGCAAGUCUGGGCCUCGGCCUUUCUGGAGCUGCUGACACAUCGGCUGUCUACUCUCUUCUGCAAGAACACAGAUCGGGGCUGCUCUGGCUUCCGAAAGGUGCGGCCAAACAGCUCUGUGUGCAUCGGGGCCCCGAGCAUCGCCUGAGGAAAACAAGCGUUUUCUUCUAAGACGUCCUCUAAAGCCUCCUAUUUACGGAAAUGUAACUGGUCUCUCUUCCCAUGUGCGAAGUGCUAAGGCUGCACAGAUAUGCGCAGUCACUGGGUGCCAACAGGCUCCAUGCCCAAUGUGGACUCAUGACACACGACCCUGAGAUCAAGAGUUGGAUGGUCUACCAACUGAGACACCCAGGCACCCCACCUCCCCUUUUUUUAAAGUAAGCUUUAGCCCCAACCUGGGCUUGAACUCAGGACCCUGAGAUCAAGAGUCACCUGCCCUACCGACUGAGCAAGCCAGAUGCCCCCCAUCGUUGAUCCUUAAUUCCUUCCUCCAAAGAAUAUGUCUGUUACACAUUUUUGUGACCUUUCUCUUCCUUUUCUUAAAAUCAAUUCUGAAAAUAAAUUCCAAAAAAAGAAACAUGCCUUUAUAAAAAAGUUACUAAGUGUGAAA